rnacentral:rRNA from 1 species
GACGAACGCUGGCGGCGUGCUUAACACAUGCAAGUCGAGCGGAGCGGCGGAGGGGUGAGUAAGGCCUAGGAAUCUGCAUGGGGGUGGGGGAUAACGUCCGGAAACGGGCGCUAAGAUCGCAUACUAUCAGAUGAGUCUAGGGCGGCGUGGCUAGAUGGUGGAGUCAAGGCCUACCAAGGCGACGAUCCGUAACUGGUCUGAGAGGAUGAUCAGUCACACUGGAACUGAGACACGGUCCAGACUCCUACGGGAGGCAGCAGUGGGGAAUAUUGGGCAAUGGGCGAAAGCCUGAUCCAGCCAUGCCGCGUGUGUGAAGAAGGUCUUCGGAUUGUAAAGCACUUUAAGUUGGGAGGCGUUACCAACAGAAUAAGCACCGGCUAACUACGUGCCAGCCGCCGCGGUAAUAC